GUAUGGGUUACUCAGGGCUCUUGUUAAAAUGCAGAUUCUGAUUCAGGAGGUCUGGGUGAGGCCUGAGAGCCUGCAUUUCUAACUGGCUCCCAGGUGAUACUGAU
rnacentral:pre_miRNA from 1 species